ACGUUUGCUAAUACCUUGUAAGCUGAGGAGCAAAAGGAGGAAUCCACCCGAGGAAAUGCUCGCAUUUGAUUAGCUAGUUAGUGAGGCAAUAAUUUACCAAGGCAAUGAUCAAUAGCUGGUCUGAAAUGAUGAUCAGUCACACUGGGACUGAGACACGACCCAGACUCCCAUAGGAGGCAGCAAUGGGGAAUUUUUCGUAAUUGGCAAAAGCUUGAUGGAGCAAUAUCGCGUGGAGAUAGAAAGCCCAUGGGUUGUGAACUUCUUUUCCAGGAGAAGAAGCAAUGAUAGUUGUCGAAAUCAUUUUUUUUAUAUUUCAAAGUAAAAAUGAUUGAUCGACUUUUUGGAAAGCGAAAAUGGAGUCG
rfam:Gossypium arboreum cultivar AKA8401 contig_36727_3, whole genome shotgun sequence.